CUUAAAGUCCCAAUUAGAUUGGGACUCUCUCACCUUUCUCACACCAAAAAAGGAGGGGUGCAAGAGAGCGCGCCUCCUCUUUGUGCAUGCAUAAAAAUGAAAGGAGAGAAGAGGAACGCAUCCAAGGGUUGGGUGCACAUACUGGUGUUGGGAAAUAUAUCCCAAAAGCCAAUCGUCAAGUUGUUGAUGAUUGAGCAACCAAG
rnacentral:lncRNA from 1 species